rnacentral:tRNA from 1 species
GGAGAGAUGGCCGAGAGGUCUAAGGCGCACGCCUGGAGAGCGUGUAGAUGAUAUUUCAUCUCGUGGGUUCAAAUCCCACUCUCUCCGCCA